UGCUUGUAUCCUCAGGCAAAAACUUAAAAGCAUCUUGAGGGGUGCAAUCAUCUUCACUUCCAUGACUCGCUACAUAAUACCAACCCCACACAAUGUAGAACACACGACAGAAACACAAGAAGAAAUCGAAUAGGUUAGAUUGAAAGAAAAUAGUGAAGAGGACAAAAAUCUAAAACAGAAACUAUAAAAAAUCAUAAAACAUCUGCAUGCUUACGUUCAACGGCAGACAACAACUUCAAGGUGUCUUCAGGGGGCAUCUUCAUUUUCAUUUUCAUUGCUCAUUGCUAUGUUAGUGCACCCUCCAACAUGAUCUCUCACUUCAACUUCAUGAGGGGCAAUCUUAGUAACGGUUGUGGAUGCAAUGUUGAUGACACUCACUGGACUAGGUCCUGACUGAUUGUCCUGAACUCGCUGUGGUGUACCAACUUGAUCAGGAAUAAGCCUCGAAGGUGAAAUAUGAACUCCUUCAGCAGAGGGCAUUGCAACAUCUUGAUCAACAUUAGACAUCCUAGGUGAACCUUGAAUUCCUUGCGGAAAGGCCGCUCGAGCAUCUUUUCCAACAUUUACCUGAGCAACUAGACCUUGCAGAUUCUGAAGCCUGAAUUGAACAUUCACCACUCUCUGCAAAACAGGACGACACAACUGAUCUAAGUUCUACUAGCAACCCAGACACAUGUUUCUCAUGAGCUAUCUUCCAUAACUUCUCAUGCUUCGAGACAACCUCAGACAUUAACUCCAACACCUACAGUGACAGAGACCAAAAAACACAUUUUAAUACUAAAAAAGUACAAGCAUACCACAAAAAG
rnacentral:lncRNA from 1 species